UGUACAGAGGGAUAGCCUUUGGAAACGAAGAUUAAUACCUCAUAGUAUUAUUAAAUGGCAUCGUUUAAUGAUUAAAACUCCGGUGGUACAAGAUGACUAUGCGUUCUAUUAGCUAGAUGGUGAGGUAACGGCUUACCAUGGCUACGAUAGAUAGGGGUCCUGAGAGGGAGAUCCCCCACACUGGUACUGAGACACGGACCAGACUCCUACGGGAGGCAGCAGUGAGGAAUAUUGGACAAUGGAGGCAACUCUGAUCCAGCCAUGCCGCGUGCAGGAAGACUGCCCUAUGGGUUGUAAACUGCUUUUAUACGGGAAGAAUAAGAUGCUCGUGAGCAUCGAUGACGGUACCGUAAGAAUAAGCACCGGCUAACUCCGUGCCAGCAGCCGCGGUAAUACGGAGGGUGCAAGCGUUAUCCGGAAUCAUUGGGUUUAAAGGGUCCGUAGGCGGGCAUAUAAGUCAGUGGUGAAAUGCUGUGGCUCAACCAUAGCACUGCCAUUGAUACUGUAUGUCUUGAAUUAUUGUGAAGUGGUUAGAAUAUGUAGUGUAGCGGUGAAAUGCUUAGAUAUUACAUAGAAUACCGAUUGCGAAGGCAGAUCACUAACAAUAUAUUGACGCUGAUGGACGAAAGCGUAGGUAGCGAACAGGAUUA
rnacentral:rRNA from 1 species